rnacentral:rRNA from 1 species
UACGUAGGGUGCAAGCGUUGUCCGGAAUUAUUGGGCGUAAAGAGCUCGUAGGCGGUUUGUCGCGUCUGCUGUGAAAACCCGAGGCUCAACCUCGGGCCUGCAGUGGGUACGGGCAGACUAGAGUGCGGUAGGGGAGAUUGGAAUUUCUGGUGUAGCGGUGGAAUGCGCAGAUAUCAGGAGGAACACCAAUGGCGAAGGCAGAUCUCUGGGCCGUAACUGACGCUGAGGAGCGAAAGCAUGGGGAGCGAACAGG